GGCAAGAUGGCGGCACCCAGUGCGGUUUGCUGGGGCGGGGGCGGGGGCGGUGUCUCUCAUGCACCGAUCUGGAUUCAAUCAGUUCUGUUCUCUGGUCUCCUGGGGCCCUGCGUUUAUGGGGUCCCCGCACAGAGAAGGUUUCCCCUGUCAGCGGGUUUCUACUCUACCGGUGGCGGGAGUCCUAGACGAUCCCCUGGUCACACGGCCCCUCCCCCACUCCUUCCCAGACCCGCGCGGUGAUCCCGGUUUCUAGGGGAUGGAGCGAUGUUCUCUCUUACCCUGUUCCAGCUCCUCCGAGGUGGGCAGUAGGGGCUCCGUCUUCUGUCUUUUGAUACUUUAAUUUCCAUCACAUUUCUGAGAAGAUUAAGAAUUAAGUGAAGGAAAACUCAGAAAUGGUCCAACAAGUAGCCGUUUGUGAACAGAAGAUCAAUGAAGCGAAGAAACAUGCUCAAGAAACAAAGGGGCAAAAUAAGAUUCUCUGUGAUGAAGUACAUAAAUUUAAGUCCGGAGAUAUGAGUGUAGGAUUCAAGGAUUCCAUGCAGAGAGCCUCAAUACCUAAUAAAUGUACCCUGGAAGAAAGGAAAAAGAAGCUAGAAGACAACUGUGAGGCAUUGAGAUCUGUUAAAGUGGCAAAGAAAUCAAAUUAAAAAUGUUAAAGAACAACAUAGGCAUGAUUGAUGAAAUCUGUGGACAAAGAAAGAUGGUCACAGAGGAGUAAGAUAUUCGCGUGUUGUUACAAAUACUGUUGUGUUAGUGAAUGUGGGGAACAAUGUAGAUAAUUAUAAUUCUUUUAGAAUAUUUACCACCAUAUUUUUGCCAUAUUCAUUCUAUAGAGAAAUGUGUUUCCCCUUUCUGCCUUGACUUUUGUAAUCUGCACCUUCCUUUCCAUUCUCACUGGUUAUCAGAGAUUCUUAUUUGUAAUUAAUUUCAGAUUGGACGGAGUAUUGGUACCAGCUUUAAUCACUUCAUUUUCUGGAACCUUCUGGGUGCAUUUACGUUGUACUCUAGGUUUCAAUCCUGUCAUAGUAUCAUGACCUGCCAUAUGUCUAUCAUUUCCUAUUAAAUUCUAGACAUAGGGUAGAAAAUAUUUAGAGAAAAAUUGAGGCCUCUUGUUGUGUUAUCUUGCUGCAGAAAAUCUGGGAGUUUACAUCUGGCAGGUGAUCAGGGAUGCCAGCAGUACUGAAUCCUAUUCAUCCAGUUAGCAAUUCAGACCAUUCACUGAAGGCUCAAUCCCUCCUAAGGCCAGUGUGUUUUCUGUCCACCUUUAUUCUUCGUGUGUAAUCUCCUGGGACCCAGCUAAGGCCUGCACGUUUUCCUAGGGAUGACCUUCAUUUAGUGACCGUGAACUCCAGUUGUUUUACUUCUGUGCCCAUGGAUGUGUGUAAACGCUCGUCAGCUUCUUUACCUCUCAGUAGUCUCCUCUGGAAUUACUUGAUGAACCCUGGGGAAAGUGGCCCCAAAUGCCAGGCUGACCUUAAUCCUGGGCUUCCUUCUUCUCCAUCUUGGCCUCAUGUUUCUUUAUUGGCUUGUUAGUAAUUUGGUGCAAUCAUGAAUUUCCUAUUUUGGCCAGUGUUUUCUCUUGUUCUCAGGGGGAGAUGAGGGACUUCAGACCCACUCAUCCAUGUUCAAAUGCAAAAUUUUUCUUAUAUUCCCUCAAGAGUCAGGUUUGUGUUAUCCCUUCCCAAGCCUGAGGGGUUGCUGUGUCCUC